UUUCGGGAGCUUACUGGCUUUAGAGUCAUGGGAACUUCGAAGUUAAGCGAGUUAAGGCUAGAGCAAUCCCAGGAUGGGUGACCCACUGGGAAGUUGCUCGUGAAUUCCCAAAA
rnacentral:rRNA from 1 species